UUGAAUUUUAAUGAAGAGUUUGGUUGUAGCUGGCCCAUUCAUUUGGGCAUGUGCACACCUUCCUCUUUCAUCCCACACACACCUGUGAACCUGUGAGACAGAGAUGGGGAAUUUACUUGCUGCUUCUUGGAAUACAAAGGCAAUAGGUUAUUGGACCCCCCCUCUGUCUACUCAAUUAAUAUAAACUCAAUUUAUUUUAAAACGAAUGUAAUGGAUGUAACACAUCUCAUAC
rnacentral:misc_RNA from 1 species